rnacentral:rRNA from 1 species
UAAAGCAAGAAAGGGCGUAUGGGGAAUGCCUAGGCACACUCCGGCGAAGAAGGACGCAGCAAACAGCGAAAUGCGACGGUGAGCGGUAAGCACGUGAAGAGCCGUCGAUAUCCGAAUGGGGGAACCCACACGGAGUCAUAUCCGUGUAUCACAUGUCGAAUACAUAGACAUGAUGAGGCGAGACGCAGGGAACUGAAACAUCUAAGUACCUGCAGGAAGAGAAAAUAAGAAUGAUUUUCUGAGUAGCGGCGAGCGAAAGGGAAAGAGCCCAAACCGAUUUUAGGAUCGGGGUAGUAGGAUCAUCGAGGAAUCUGACAGAGGAUCAUAGAGGAAUCACAUGGGAAGGUGAGCGAGAGAGGGUGAGAGCCCCGUACUCGAAAUGAGAGACUGGAGAGAGAUGACACCUGAGUAGGGCGGGACACGAGAAAUCCUGUCUGAAUCAGCCGGGACCAUCCGGCAAGGCUAAAUACGAGAGAGUGACCGAUAGUGAACCAGUACCGUGAGGGAAAGGUGAAAAGAACCCCGGGAGGGGAGUGAAAGAGAACCUGAAACCAUAUGCCUACAAGAAGUCAGAGCCCGUUAAAGGGUGAUGGCGUGCCUUUUGUAGAAUGAACCGGCGAGUUACUGUAUGGAGCGAGGUUAAGCAGGAUAUGCGGAGCCGAAGCGAAAGCGAGUCUUAAGAGGGCGCGAGUUGCAUGCAGUAGACCCGAAACCGGGUGAUCUAGCCAUGACCAGGUUGAAGUUGGGGUAAAACCCGAUGGAGGACCGAACCGACCCCCGUUGAAACGUUGGCGGAUGAGUUGUGGCUAGGGGUGAAAUUCCAAUCGAACUCGGAGAUAGCUGGUUCUCCCCGAAAUAGCUUUAGGGCUAGCGUCGAGAGAAGAGUUGCGUGAAGGUAGAGCACUGAAUAUGUGAUGGCCCCAUCUCGGGGUACUGAGCAUAAUCAAACUGCGAAUGUCACGCCAACAUGCUCGGCAGUCAGACAGCGGGUGAUAAGGUCCGUUGUCAAGAGGGAAACAGCCCAGACCAUCAGCUAAGGUCCCAAAAUGUAUGCUAAGUGGAAAAGGAUGUGGAGAUGUACAGACAACUAGGAGGUUGGCUCAGAAGCAGCCAUCCUUUAAAGAGUGCGUAACAGCUCACUAGUCGAAUGACUCUGCGCCGAUAAUUUACCGGGGCUAAGCAUACUACCGAAGCUAUGGAUCCCAAGGGAUGGUAGGGGAGCGUUCCAUGAACGGAGAAGUACGACCGAAAGGACGUGUGGAGAUCAUGGAAGAGAGAAUGCCGGUGUGAGUAGCGGAACGUGGGUGAGAAUCCCACGCACCGAAAACCCAAGGUUUCCAGAGGAAGGUUCGUCCGCUCUGGGUAAGUCGGGACCUAAGGCGAGGCCGAAAGGCGUAGUCGAUGGACAACAGGUAGAGAUUCCUGUACCCGUAUAUAUGUGAAGGAAUGACGGAGAGAGGAAGCUGCAGCCAGCGGCUGGAAGAGCUGGUGCAAGCGAGAUAUCGGGAUGGCAGGCAAAUCCACCAUCCGAAACGAGAAGGCGUGAAGCGUACGGAAAGCUACGGCGAGUACGGAAGGCAGUGGAGGAACUUCCAAGAAAAGUUUCUAACGUUAAGUAUAUAUGGCCCGUACCGAAAAUGGACACACAUGGGUGAGGAGAGAAUCCUAAGGUGAGCGAGAGAACUAUAGCUAAGGAACUCUGCAAAAUGACUCCGUAACUUAGGGAGAAGGAGUGCUCAUAGAGAUAUGAGCCGCAGUGAAACGGCCCAAGCGACUGUUUACCAAAAACACAGCUCUCUGCUAAGCCGCAAGGCGAAGUAUAGGGGGUGACGCCUGCCCGGUGCUGGAAGGUUAAGGGGAGGGGUUAACGCAAGUGAAGCCCUGAACUGAAGCCCCAGUAAACGGCGGCCGUAACUAUAACGGUCCUAAGGUAGCGAAAUUCCUUGUCAGGUAAGUUCUGACCCG